rnacentral:rRNA from 1 species
AGAGUUUGAUCAUGGCUCAGGACGAACGCUGGCGGCGUGCUUAACACAUGCAAGUCGAACGGUGAAGGGAUCAGCUUGCUGGUUCUGGAUGAGUGGCGAACGGGUGAGUAACACGUGAGUAACCUGCCCCCUUCUUCUGGAUAACCGCAUGAAAGUGUGGCUAAUACGGGAUAUUCUGGGUCUGUCGCAUGGCGGGCCUGGGAAAGAUAUUGUUUCGGUGGGGGAUGGGCUCGCGGCCUAUCAGCUUGUUGGUGGGGUGAUGGCCUACCAAGGCGGUGACGGGUAGCCGGCCUGAGAGGGUGGACGGUCACACUGGGACUGAGACACGGCCCAGACUCCUACGGGAGGCAGCAGUGGGGAAUAUUGCACAAUGGGCGCAAGCCUGAUGCAGCGACGCCGCGUGAGGGAUGGAGGCCUUCGGGUUGUAAACCUCUUUCGCCAGUGAAGCAGGCCUGCUCCUUGUGGGUGGGUUGACGGUAGCUGGAUAAGAAGCGCCGGCUAACUACGUGCCAGCAGCCGCGGUAAUACGUAGGGCGCGAGCGUUGUCCGGAAUUAUUGGGCGUAAAGAGCUCGUAGGCGGCUGGUCGCGUCUGUCGUGAAAUCCUCUGGCUUAACUGGGGGCUUGCGGUGGGUACGGGCCGGCUUGAGUGCGGUAGGGGAGACUGGAACUCCUGGUGUAGCGGUGGAAUGCGCAGAUAUCAGGAAGAACACCGGUGGCGAAGGCGGGUCUCUGGGCCGUUACUGACGCUGAGGAGCGAAAGCGUGGGGAGCGAACAGGAUUAGAUACCCUGGUAGUCCACGCCGUAAACGUUGGGCACUAGGUGUGGGGGGCCUUUUCCGGGUCUUCCGCGCCGUAGCUAACGCAUUAAGUGCCCCGCCUGGGGAGUACGGCCGCAAGGCUAAAACUCAAAGGAAUUGACGGGGGCCCGCACAAG